UGGGGAAUAUUGCACAAUGGGGGAAACCCUGAUGCAGCGACGCCGCGUGAGCGGAGAAGGCUUUCGAGUCGUAAAGCUCUGUCCUAUGAGAAGAUAAUGACGGUAUCAUAGGAGGAAGCCCUGGCUAAAUACGUGCCAGCAGCCGCGGUAAUACGUAUGGGGCGAGCGUUGUCCGGAAUUAUUGGGCGUAAAGGGUACGUAGGUGGUUUUUUAAGUCAGGUGUCAAAGCGUGGAGCUUAACUCCAUUAAGCACUUGAAACUGAAAGACUUGAGUGAAGGAGAGGAAAGUGGAAUUCCUAGUGUAGCGGUGAAAUGCGUAGAUAUUAGGAGGAAUACCGGUGGCGAAGGCGACUUUCUGGACUUUUACUGACGCUCAGGUACGAAAGCGUGGGGAGCAAACAGG
rnacentral:rRNA from 1 species